CUAUCAGCUUGUUGGUGAGGUAGUUAGCUUACCAAACAGCAGACGGGUAGCUGGUCUGAGAGGAGGAUCAAUCACACUGGCAGUGGAACACCGGCCAGACUAAUCCGGGAGGCAGCGGUGAGGAAUAUUGGUCAAUGGCAGUAAACGUGCACCAGCCACGCCGCGCCAGUGAUGAAGCCCUUCAGGUCGUAAAACUUCGUGGGGAGGGAGGAAAAUCCGCAGGAGGAAACAUUAGUGUCUACAAGCAGCCUCGGAAGCAAGCACCGGCUAAAUCUCAGCCAGCAGCCAAGGUAAUACAGAGGGUGCAAACGUUGCUUGGAUUUCCUGGGAGUAAAAGGAGUGUAGGCGGCCUCGCAAUUCGGUUGGGAAAUCCCUGGGAUCAACCUAGGAACUGCAUCCGAAACUGCUUGUCUUGAGUAAUGGAGAGGGUGGCGGAAUUCCCGGUGUAGAGGUGAAAUUCGUAGAUAUCGGGAGGAACAUCAGUGGCGAAGGGUGCCACCUGGACAUUUACUGACAUUGAGAAAUAUUAAUCGUGGGGAGCAAACAGUAGGAGAUACCCC
rnacentral:rRNA from 1 species